UUGGUUUGCCAUAGCCAAAUUUUGAGAUGAAAAAGGGAAAGUCGUGUAAUUCGACUGCGGUCCCGCCGCUGUAAGUGGGUACGAAAGUUUUAAUAAGUGCCACUGCAUGGUAGUUAGCCAUGUGGGAAGGUCUAAACGAGUAGGAUGAUCCAUGAGCCAGAAGACCUGCCUGUUGUGU
rnacentral:ncRNA from 1 species